GCCCGGUUGGUGUAGCGGUAACACGAGCAGUGUGGCAGUAGGUCGCGUGAAGCAUUAAGUCCACCAAGAUGUAAGUUAGUCCCCGGUUCGACUCCGGGAUCGGGCA